CUUGCAUCAGGGGCAAGCUAUGGGAGGCCCACGUGCUCAUCUUGGAGCGUUCAGUCCAGUGGCACGGUGCCGUCACACCCCCCCCCCCCCCCCCCGCUCCUGUUUGUUUCAUUCUUCUUUUACAGUACUGAAAUUCAGCUGCCCCUGCCCUACUCUCUUCUUCCGGGGGCUUCAGUCCCUCCCACGGCCCUGUCCAGUGUGUUGACCAGGUGGCCAUUCCAUGUGACAGCCCCAACCUUAACACUCCCUCCUUGUCGCUGUUCAGCCACACUGGCCACACACACACACACACACACACACACACACACACACACCUUCCUUUGGGGCCUUUGUACAAGCCGUUCACUCUGCCUGUAGUCUGCCUGUAGCCCUUCAGGACUCCACACUUCUGAACCCCAAGAUCUACUACUGACAACCACCUGCUUAGGUAGGUUCUCCGUGAUGACCCCUCAGAGACAGCCCUAUGGAGUAUGGUGGCUGCAAGCCUUUAAUCUCCGUACUUGGGAGGCAAACCAAGCCCUGCCACACACACUAUCAUCCUGAGCCCUCUAGGUCUCCAGCAACUCAGAAGUCAGAUUCUUUUUUUCUCCUGUUUCAUCCACUGCUGUAUCUCUAGCCUCAGGCAUGAACCCUGGUAUGUGGCAGGAGCCGAGAAUUCAGCGAGUUGGAUGGUAUGACGGAGUAGAGGGUACUGUGUGCGGUGCUAGGAGGUCCUGGUGUUCCCCUUGGC
rnacentral:lncRNA from 1 species